UCUAACGUUCCUGUUGGUGGCAGC
rnacentral:piRNA from 1 species